rnacentral:misc_RNA from 1 species
GGUUCGCAUUGGAGCCCGCCACGCUCCCAUCCCGUGUCCUUUGUUUGCUGAUUCAUGCCGCACUCAUCUUGCAGCCGCAUCGUCGUCGUGGCGGCUCUGCUUCUCCUGUGCGGGAGCGCACGAGCCGUAGUCCUGUCGCGAGAGUACUCGCAAACCGACGCGAGACGGUCCCUGCAGUACGCAAACGUGACGUACGCUGACAUCGAUGCCAUCGAGAGUUGGAAGUGCGGAGGCAGCUGCAACGCAAACCCGUCGUUCAAGGUGACAUCGAUUGUGAAGGGCGACGACGCGCACAGUCUGCUUGCCUACGUGGGUGUCGACGACGGCAGCGCGCAAGUGGUCGUGGCGCUUCGUGGCUCUGCGACGCAGCAGGAAAAGCUUAUGCGCCGGCCCGCGGAGCCCGUCCUGUACGACAUCACAUCCGGCUGCGGCCUUGAGUGUCGGGUGCACACCGGCUUCCAAAGAAGCUACUUGGCCGUCCGCCGCACCGUCCGCGCUGCUGUCGUGCGUGACUUGACGAUGCAUCCCGGUUACAAUGUUCUGGUGACGGGCCACUCCGUUGGCGCGGCAGUGGCGCUGCUGGCGGCGGUAGACGUGCAGGCGCAUGUGAAUCGCAUGUUCUUUGUGUCACGGCCGAUUGUGUCGCUCUACACGUUUGGCAUGCCUCGCGUGGGCAACCGAGCAUUUGCGGUGUGGGCAGCUGGCAUGCUCUCGCGGGGUUCCCAUUUCCGCAUCACAAGUCGACAUGAUCCCGUGCCCCGGAUGCCCUCCAGCGGCAGUGCGGGCUUUCAGCACGUCCCCUAUGAGGUUUACUGCGCCGCUGCUGCGGGCACAAACUGCCGCGUGUGCGAGGACAGCGCCGAUGGCGACGACCCGACAUGCAUCGUGCAAGCAUCCAAGGUGGAUAUGCGGGACCACUUCUUCUACUUUGGGGAGCGUAUCUCAGGUGGCGCCGCUGGGGAUGCCAUGCUGUACCUGUAACCUCUGCAACCUCCUGUCAAAGAGCCUCAUGGGUGGGCAGCCUUAUUGGUUUUGGUCACUUCCCGCACUUGCCGAUGCACCGCCUUGGCAGAACAUCCUGUGAGCGCACGUGGGGGUCACUCCUAGAUGUAUUCCUUCACAUCUUUCUUUUCUCGGUUCUUUUUCGCUCCUCUUGGUGCUCUUCGCUACUGUGGGGCAGUGGCGAGUGUUGUGAUGAGGGCUUUUACACGAGUCCCAGCCAGUAAUCAGCUUCGUGUCUCGUCCUUUCCCUCUAUAAGCGUUCGCUCGGCUGUUGGGUUUUUGUUAUCCUGAAGUCUUCUUCAGGCAGUCCUCCUCCGUGGUGCGCAGCCCGCGACGCACAUACACAUAGC